rnacentral:tRNA from 1 species
UCCCGUGGCUCAGAGGUUAAAGCGUCUGCCUGCAGUGCGGGACACCCGGGUUCGAUCCCUGGGUCGGGAA